UAAUUCUUCACAAUCAAUGCCAUAUGUCUGUAAUGAUUCUGGCACUGGAGUUGAUCCAUUUCCCCUUCUUACUCACCUGCUCAGUCUCCACCUCUCUGCAAUUAAACGUUACUGGCUCCACCUGUCUCCAGCUGCAUAAAAGCCCCGUCAAUCUCAGUCUCCAGUGCCAGAACGUCUCUAGCCUUUUGCCGAGUACCUUCAAGCCUGUUAGUCAAUUCCUGCCUGUCUGUUGCCGACCUGAUCUGUAUUCUGUUUUCCCGAGCCUGCCGAAGCCCUCUCUGGUCCUGUCUGUCCGAUACCUGUCUGUCUGGAAACCCUUCCCCCUGGACUGUCUCCCCGUGUGCCGAACCUGGACCGAACCUGAACCCGACCUCGGAUAUCCCUACUGCUGGAUCUUUGGCCCCAACGUUAAUGAACCCGGACUGUCUUUGGAUUAACGCCCCUGGAUUACCCCAUACGGACUCUGCCUGCCGGUCUCAACUGUCUGCGGACGCCUCUCAUCUCCAAAGUCAUCUUCCCCGAACAAUCCAGCCCGCAAUCAGGAGAUUGCCGGCCGACAAGCCGCAAGCAGCGCGUCCCGAGAGCCCCACUUCCCCUCUCCUUUUAAAUAAACAAACCUCGUAACGCCA